AAAGAAGUAAAAAUACAMUUAGUUUCGACCUAAUAUAAGGAAUAUUUAUCCCAUGUUUU
rnacentral:tRNA from 1 species